rnacentral:rRNA from 1 species
UACGUAGGGUGCAAGCGUUGUCCGGAAUUAUUGGGCGUAAAGGGCUCGUAGGCGGUCCGUCACGUCGGGAGUGAAAACUUGGGGCUUAACCCCAAGCCUGCUUCCGAUACGGGCGGACUAGAGGUAGGCAGGGGAGAACGGAAUUCCUGGUGUAGCGGUGAAAUGCGCAGAUAUCGGGAAGAACACCAGUGGCGAAAGCGCUCUACUGGGCCAUAACUGACACUGAGGGACGAAAGCUAGGGGAGCGAAAGGG